UCAGCUGAAUUAUUUUGUGUAUUAUAACGCCAGUGAUAAUUCUGAAAUUCCCCUACUUUCACUUUCAUUUUUAGAGGUUCCCGCAGACAGACGCAUUUUGCCGGAAAACGAAUCUGACAUGCCACCUCGAGAUUUUAACCAAGGAAAGACAAGUUGAUGUGCUUUGAUUUGAGGGGUCACUCACUUCUGAACGAAAAUUAGGGACAUCGCUAUGAGAAGAAACGUUAACAUUGUCGCCUAUGGGAAAACAAUUAGUGGACUGUACCCAUAUUAGGAAGCCUAUAAGUUCAUGGUGAUUGGUACAGGAAAAACAUGAGGUCCAUGCAGAUGGUGUUUAAAACUAUUGGCCAGCAAAUGCACACCCAUUUGAAUACAUCUUGAAACAGCACCAGCAAAAUGUGACAGUCGGCAAAAUGUAGGUUCCCGCAGACAGACGCAUUUUGCCGGAAAACGAAUCUGACAUGCCACCUCGAGAUUUUAACCAAGGAAAGACAAGUUGAUGUGCUUUGAUUUGAGGGGUCACUCACUUCUGAACGAAAAUUAGGGACAUCGCUAUGAGAAGAAACGUUAACAUUGUCGCCUAUGGGAAAACAAUUAGUGGACUGUACCCAUAUUAGGAAGCCUAUAAGUUCAUGGUGAUUGGUACAGGAAAAACAUGAGGUCCAUGCAGAUGGUGUUUAAAACUAUUGGCCAGCAAAUGCACACCCAUUUGAAUACAUCUUGAAACAGCACCAGCAAAAUGUGACAGUCGGCAAAAUGUAGGUUCCCGCAGACAGACGCAUUUUGCCGGAAAACGAAUCUGACAUGCCACCUCGAGAUUUUAACCAAGGAAAGACAAGUUGAUGUGCUUUGAUUUGAGGGGUCACUCACUUCUGAACGAAAAUUAGGGACAUCGCUAUGAGAAGAAACGUUAACAUUGUCGCCUAUGGGAAAACAAUUAGUGGACUGUACCCAUAUUAGGAAGCCUAUAAGUUCAUGGUGAUUGGUACAGGAAAAACAUGAGGUCCAUGCAGAUGGUGUUUAAAACUAUUGGCCAGCAAAUGCACACCCAUUUGAAUACAUCUUGAAACAGCACCAGCAAAAUGUGACAGUCGGCAAAAUGUAGGUUCCCGCAGACAGACGCAUUUUGCCGGAAAACGAAUCUGACAUGCCACCUCGAGAUUUUAACCAAGGAAAGACAAGUUGAUGUGCUUUGAUUUGAGGGGUCACUCACUUCUGAACGAAAAUUAGGGACAUCGCUAUGAGAAGAAACGUUAACAUUGUCGCCUAUGGGAAAACAAUUAGUGGACUGUACCCAUAUUAGGAAGCCUAUAAGUUCAUGGUGAUUGGUACAGGAAAAACAUGAGGUCCAUGCAGAUGGUGUUUAAAACUAUUGGCCAGCAAAUGCACACCCAUUUGAAUACAUCUUGAAACAGCACCAGCAAAAUGUGACAGUCGGCAAAAUGUAGGUUCCCGCAGACAGACGCAUUUUGCCGGAAAACGAAUCUGACAUGCCACCUCGAGAUUUUAACCAAGGAAAGACAAGUUGAUGUGCUUUGAUUUGAGGGGUCACUCACUUCUGAACGAAAAUUAGGGACAUCGCUAUGAGAAGAAACGUUAACAUUGUCGCCUAUGGGAAAACAAUUAGUGGACUGUACCCAUAUUAGGAAGCCUAUAAGUUCAUGGUGAUUGGUACAGGAAAAACAUGAGGUCCAUGCAGAUGGUGUUUAAAACUAUUGGCCAGCAAAUGCACACCCAUUUGAAUACAUCUUGAAACAGCACCAGCAAAAUGUGACAGUCGGCAAAAUGUAGGUUCCCGCAGACAGACGCAUUUUGCCGGAAAACGAAUCUGACAUGCCACCUCGAGAUUUUAACCAAGGAAAGACAAGUUGAUGUGCUUUGAUUUGAGGGGUCACUCACUUCUGAACGAAAAUUAGGGACAUCGCUAUGAGAAGAAACGUUAACAUUGUCGCCUAUGGGAAAACAAUUAGUGGACUGUACCCAUAUUAGGAAGCCUAUAAGUUCAUGGUGAUUGGUACAGGAAAAACAUGAGGUCCAUGCAGAUGGUGUUUAAAACUAUUGGCCAGCAAAUGCACACCCAUUUGAAUACAUCUUGAAACAGCACCAGCAAAAUGUGACAGUCGGCAAAA